UUCAUCUUCGUCUUCAACCUUGAAAACGUGUAACAGAGAGAGAGGUCAAAGGAACUGUCCCAAUUUGAGUGGCAGGAAGGUGUAGACGGAGGUGAUUCCCAGGAUUGUGUUGCUGCAACUAGUUUCUGCGUCGUGUACUCGAGGAACCUCAUUGCAAGAGCCGCUAGACAUUAAACCGCUACCAAUUAUUCUUGCUAACAUGGGUGGAGACGCGCCAUGUGGUACUGGGUAUGCAGAGAGUUCGACGAUGGGGGAAGAAGCUGCGGCCAGGCGCCAGCGGAAGGAUAGGGCAGAAAGUAAUAGCGCUGUUAAUUAGUGAGUCGCGUGAGGAUGAAGGGGAAUCUGAAGGAGAGGUCAGCGAUGGGCCUUCAUAGGUAUUGCCUGAUGGCACUGAGGUCGACGAACCGAAGGGUUCAAUGACGUCGGCCGACAGUAAUAGCGAAAUUGAAGCGGACUUACAAGCUUCAUGGUGUAACGAAGUUAAGACCACUAGAAAAAGGUGCAAUGACUCCGUUUUUGUCAGAGGGUUUUGCUGCCGUACAUGAAGCUGUUUUCCACCAGAGGGUUAGGUUUCCACUAUUGCCGAACCUCUAGAUCCUUCUGUGUGAGUUCGAAAUUUCGUUUGGGCAAGUCUCCUGGAACAUGUGGAAGAUCUUGAUGGUGCUGAAUAGUUUGUGGCAGUUGUCAGGGUGUGAAGGUCCGACGGUGGUGGAAGUUCUUCACUUCUACGAGCUUGUGUAUGUUAAGCGGGGUGGAUGUGGCGGUCAAGUGAAUUUGACCCGCAGCACUCAGUUGUUAGAGAACCCGCCAGAUUCAAUGUCGUACAGGAAGAAGACUGUUUGCGUCGCCACUGAGGAUUCGGAAUAUGAUGCGACAGUGAAUAAGGAACCGUCGACCUAUAGGAUUAAAUCAGAAUUUCAACCAUUGCAAGUUUGAAUUGACGAACGAGGAGUAUUGCAGCAUAGCGCGGGUGCUUCGUUGCUGGCGGAAUCGGAACUUUCUUGAUAUUUGCCUAUUGACGGGUUGGGAUCUGUUGGUAAAGUUGAAGUUGAGCCACUAUCCUGCCUUUCUGCCUGCUAAUUGAAAGAGUCACGACUCGUUCAAAAAGACAAUGGAUAAGACUAAGCUUCAGGACUAUCUCCGUGGCAUGCUCAGCGAAGGCGUGAAUGCACGCAAGACGGCGGUGGAUCCGUAUACUAAGGAGGUUACUCCUACAGAGGAGGAGACUGUCCUUGAAAUACCGCACCACUCGCACUUAGCGACAGGUGGGGAGACCCUGGUUCGACCAAUUGCACCGGCUUCGAAAAAACGAGAAGCUGGCGGGAAUCGUUUUGGCGAUCGCCAAGAGAAAGCUUCGGAUAGGGUGGCUGGCAUGCACUAAGGAAGCCAACCCCAAAAGGAGAGGGGGGUGGUGAUAGGAAAGGCCGGAUUUGGCUGGAGUUCCGUUGUUCAGCAGAUAGCUCCGGAUGUUUCUCUAGGGGGCAAAACAAGUGCCGCUGGCGGCACACAAGGGGGCAUGUUGGAGAAGCGGCGGCGGUAGAAUGAUCCGGAAGAUGGAUUAGAACCCGUGGACGAGAUUCAUCUUGGCGUCCGCCUGCAGAAGAAAAUACAGAAAGAGGGUCCUGCCGCCACCGUUGCUGUCAGCGGGAAGAAUACGCCACCGCCUGCACUGGAUUCCUUUACGGAUUUUGCGCCGUUUCUGUUGGUUGAACAACAAAAAAUUUUAUUCCACAUUUGUGAGCGCCUGAGGUUUGGCGGCUUGGAUGGUGUGGUACGCCUCACGGCCCUGCAACAGUAUCCGUUUUGCUCUGCCUAUGGGCAGUUGGCAGCGGGGCUAAAUGAGAUGUUUCUGGCGGCAUCAAGGCCAUCUCUUUCAGAGGUUCGUCUUCAGGAUGAGGUGGAUAGUCUCUGUCGCGAACUGGCAGAGGAGAAGAAAGUGCAUAAUGAAACCGACCACCGGCUGGCGAAGGCGGAGAUGGAUUUGAUAGACUCCAGGGGGAAGCUAGAUGUGGUGGUUUCCAGGGAUGUCGAGCGAAACACGUAGAUGUCGGAGUUGGCAAGGGAAGUGUCUGGCUUGAAGGAUCAAACGGCUGCAGGCUAAAGGGGUUCAGCUGGCGAAGGAGGAGAGGAAGAAAAUUAGUGUUGCUACUGUCGAUUCCUUCAAGCAAUCUGAAGACUUUCAGGGUCUGUUGACGGAGGCUGCCCAAGAGGGUAGAGCAGAGAACUUCCACUGGCUGGAGUCCGAGGGUGUCAUCAACUAAGACAAGGAUGCCCAGCUGUCGGCACCCUCUAGUGCCACUAAAAGUCAGCAAGGUGAUGGUGGGAAAAAUGUAGGUUCGCAGGGUGCCCACUCCAUCAGCGAUGAAUUUGCCCAACGUGUUGACCUUGCGCCGCAGCAAACACCGUCGGUGAUUGCUUCUGAGGCUUCACGUAUUCAAUUCAUUGCCACCCAUACCAGGCUUGACAGGUCUAUGUAAACACCUAGUCCCAACUUUCAUGGCCAGCGAUCAGAGGAGACAAGCCAACAGUCGGGGCUAGAUGGUGAUAGUGGUGCUGCGAAGAUCUGAAGGAAGU